AGAUAAAUAUUGAUGAACUUCGCUGUGUAUACGAAUUCUAAAUUUAGAAGUAUUUAGCAUUAAGACAGCUAAAAAACUAAUAAACUAUAUUUUUGUUCAUAAUUUCAACUACUUAAUCAUAGUUUUGUUCAUAAUUUAGAUUUAAUACAUUUUUCUCACAUAUUCGGUGACAAAAUUAAAAUUACAAAAAAAUGUUCACAUUGAAAUAAAAUGAACAUAUCUUACUGCGGUUGGCUUAACGAUGUUUGUUAAAUAUUAAUAUUUAGUUAUUUUCCUAAGAUAUCUACGCUCCAUAAGCUUUUAUUGUUAGAUAUUUGACUUGAGAAAAAUAUUGUAAAACAACAAUAGAGAACAGAUGCUGAAAACAGCUAAAAUGGAACCACCGAUAGUUGAUACAUUUAAUAAAUAAAUUUUCUUAGCUUAAUCUUUGAGAAAAAAAAUGAGAAAAUUACAACAAGUGUUUGAACGUGAGUAUUUCACAAUAUAAUACAAUAUAAUAUUCGGUUGAACGAUACGUGUUAAUAUUUCUAUUUUGUAUCUUCAAAGGAAAUCUGGAAUUAUCAGCAAAACAAAUGAACGACCCGUUUUACUGAAGAUUUGUACCAGUUGUAUUCUUCUGCAAAAAUAGAAAUACCUUUGGUUUGAGAUCCACAAGGUCAACGGCUGAGGAAUAGAAUAAAAAUCCCAUCGGGUAAGGCCAUGUUUUCCGCCUUCAUGCUACAAGAGCAAAACACAGCUUUCAGAUAGGAUAAUUAAGAACACAAAAUAAAUAAAUAAAAAAAAACAAUGGAUUGUUAGUGAAUAAAAUAUUGCUAUUUUCUGAGCAUAACGUAACUUUAUUGCGUUUCAAAUCCUUUGUUUCGAUGGUUAAACAAACAAAACAGUUUUAAUUUCCGUGGAUAGAAUGACAGUUCCAUCGAUAAAAUGACAGUUCAUCCCGAUUAAAAAAAUCUCCAUACAAACUUUAAAUGCAUUUUAAAAAUAGUUCCCGAGCACUAAAAAUGAUGAAAUUUUGGAUUUCGACUAAUUUUUGAACGGAGAUUCCGAUUAUUAAAUAAUUUGGAUGCCCCUAAAGAACCCAAUUAUGAAUAAAACUAAUAAUGGAAGCACAAUUUUUGUAUUAUUUUAAAAUCAUCAUUAUGAAUGUAAUAAAAAUAUUUUUCAACUAUUAAAAAAAAAAACAGUACUUUUAUUUUUGAUCGUAUGACAACCAUUGAAAUGAUUUUUUUUGCGAGCACUUUUAUCUUUCAAAAACAACAAUCCAAUAUAAAAUCUAUAAAUAUCCAUAUAAAUACAAGGUGUUAGGUUCAUGAGUGCAAACUGUUUAAAGGGUGAUAGAGGACCAUAAAUGGUCCUUCUAGCUCUUAUUUUAAAUGUGCGGCACAGUGCGCAAAAAGUGCUUACCAUGACAGUUGCAAAUUUAUGAUCUGAAAUGCGAUGUUUAAAUCGAAAUUGCAAGAAAACGAUAAUAUCCCAGACAGACAUGUGAUACGAGUGUGAUUCCUGUACAACGGUUUGCAGUGUCAAGAAAAUUCUAACGAGACUGAUUUGAACCGAGAGAAUUUCCAGUAUGGCACUCAUUUCAAGCGCAAUUGUACAGUGAUUCUUGUAUCACAUGUGUGUCAUAAGUAUAAGAUAGAAAUUUGAUGUCAAAUUGUAGAGUGGAACAUGGACCACAACUUUGCCAAACAAAGAAUUUUAAAUUAUUAUGCAUUUUUCAAAGAUAAUAGACAAAAACAAAUUAAAACACACUACUUUUGAGCUAUUUGCUCUAGGAAACUUAGUUAUUUAACUAAACCAUUUGAUUCAAAGAUGCCAUUUGAUAGAAAAUUCAAUAAUCUUUCAAAUAAGGGUAAAAAACUGCGAUAAGUUUGACAAUUUUCAAGUUAUAGCCAGUUAAGGCAAUAAGAGUCAAAAACAUGGGAAUUUCAAUUACUACGAAACGGUUGAGAUUUGACCAUAUGCGUAGAACAUUUUUUUCACUAUUUAUGGUCCUCUAUCACCCUUUAAAAAGUUUGCACUCAGGAACCUAACACCCUGUAUAACAACUGAAGUUUUUGACAGUUGAAUCUCCAGUUAGCCUAGUUGAUCACCAAACUGAUGGGGUUGGGUUCAAUCUCCGAUACAGUCGAAAGAUUUUAUCGACUUCCCUGGUAAAGUGUAUUCUUGUGCAAAGAAAGCUCUUCAAUUAAAAACUGCGAAAGUGCUAAAAAACAGUUGCUCAAAACAGUAAAAGAGUAGCAAGUCAAGUUCCAGUGAGAACGUAAAGUCACAAAUAAGAAGUUUUUGACAGUUCGUUUGGUUGCAUAAUUCUCCCAGCAAGUAUAUGUAUAAAGUGAUUUUUUGCAGAACUCUGGAUUUAACCAGAGAUUUUAUUCCUCUUCUAGGUUGAUGCAACUAGCGUGACUGGAAGGGAGAGUGACGUCAAUGUCAAAAUUGCAAUUAUCUAUGCAUACAAAUUCCCGUUCCAAACGAGCAGGAGACAUGUCAAAAUUGGAACAUCACGCCACUCUCCCUUCGAGUCACUCUAGAUACAACAAGGAAGCUUAAUUUUUUCCGGAGACAUUCGUAAGAUAUGGAAAACAAAUUUGUUCAAAUCUUCGUAAUUUUAAUUUCAAUUGUUGUUCUUCACGGCUCAUUAAAAAAACUGUCAAACUGAUACGUAAGGUGCCUUUUUAGUGUAUUCAAUUAUGUUUGACAAUUUAUUAAUACAGGUUGCAAGUACUGGUUCUCUGAAAGUCAUUUAGGUCUUUUAGUUACCAUUGUUAGUUAUUCUCUAGAGUAGUUCUCUGAAGGAACUCCCGAAACAGUCUAUUUGGAUAUGUCCGUAUAGGUAAAUUUCCGAUUCUUUGAAAAAAAAAACUUGGGAAGAAAUCUACGUAGGAAUCUCAGGCGUAAUUCCAAAAAACAAAAACCUAUGAAGAAAUGUAUGAAGACUUAUCUAAGGGAUUUCUAGAAGAAUGCUUUUUUUAGCAAUUUCUGGAUUAAGCCCGCUAGAAUUUUCUGAGAGAAUUUUCUAAGGAAUCUCUGGACAAAUUUCCAGACACAUUCUCCAAAAAAUUCUGAAAAAAAUAUUUUUAAAUAUUUUUAAUAUUUUUAAUAAUAAUAUACAAAGCAAUCUCUGUAGAAAAUCUCGAUAAAAUUCAGACAAUAAUCUCUAGACAUUGAAGACAUCUUUAAAUAUAAAUCUCUACAAGAAAACAAAGGGAUCUGUAGGAAAAUUCUUAAAAGACGAAUUUUCGAUAUAAUCUACAGGGCGCGUGCGAUAUUUUUGCACUAAAUCAUAUCGUAAUCAUAAAACACGUUUUAAAAAUAAUUCGACAAUAGAUCUAUACUUAAUGAUUUUUUUUCGCUAACAAUUGUGAUUAUUUCAAUGAUUUAGGAAGAAAAAAGUGGUCCUAAUAUCGAUAACAUUUUUUGAACGAUCCUCAGAACCGCUGCAAGUCCGUUUUGGUGUUGUUCUCUAUAUUUUGGUCAACAAUUGUGACCAAACACAUCGUUAUGUGUGCCGUUCAAAAAAUAUCCCAUAAAUUUGAAAAAGAGGUUUCUAGAAGACGAAAAUGCGAACAACUUGAGUAUAAAUAUAUGGAGCAGCUGCAUACUAUCUGCAUUUUCUCAGCUGUCAAGAACGCUAUGAAACUGAUUUUUUCAGUGUAGUUGGGGGAUUCCAUAGGCUUGUUACCUACAAAAAACUACAUAGCUGGAAUGGAAGAUAGCGGAGAAAUAACUGGAAGAAGUCGGAAAUAUCCUAAGUCGUACCAGCUCAAUUUGCUGUUUUAGACUCCCAUAAGCUAAGUACAGCACAAAUUUGAGCUGAAUUGAUAAGGUCUUAGGUAUCGCUCGACUAGUCUGAAGUUUAUAUGGUAAAACUGGUACAAAUAUGUGCAGGAAUGGCAUAGUUUUAGUUUUCUGCCACUAGAUGGCACUGGAAGCGUUCAAUAACCCUUAUUUUUAGUAUUAUUAUAGGGAAUUCUAUGCGGAACAUCUUUGUUGAAGACCGCUAAGUGAUCCGAUGCUUGCUAAAAAAAAAGUUGUACCCUAGACUUA